rnacentral:rRNA from 1 species
CCGACGGUGAGGGGUGAAAGCUGGGGGAGCAAACCGGAUUAGAUACCCGUGUAGUCCCAGCCGUAAACGAUGUGCGUUAGGUGUAUCGGUGACCACGAGUCACCGAGGUGCCGAAGAGAAAUCGUGAAACGUACCGCCUGGGAAGUACGGUCGCAAGGCUGAAACUUAAAGGAAUUGGCGGGGGAGCACCACAACAGGUGGAGCCUGCGGUUUAAUCGGACUCAACGCCGGGAAACUCACCAGAUAAGACAGCUGAAUGAUAGUCGGGCUGAAGACUCUACUUGACUAGCUGAGAGGAGGUGCAUGGCCGUCGUCAGUUCGUACUGUGAAGCAUCCUGUUAAGUC